rnacentral:rRNA from 1 species
UGUCAGCAGCCGCGGUAAGACGAACCGUACAAACGUUACUCGGAAUUACUGGGCUUAAAGGGUGCGUAGGCUGCGCGGAAAGUUGGGUGUGAAAGCCCUCAGCUCAACUGGGGAAUUGCAUUCAAAACUACCGUGCUCGAGGGAGACAGAGGUAAGCGGAACUCAAGGUGGAGCGGUGAAAUGCGUUGAUAUCUUGAGGAACACCGGUGGCGAAAGCGGCUUACUGGGUCUCUUCUGACGCUGAGGCACGAAAGCUAAGGUAGCAAACGGGAUUAGAUACCCCGGUAGUCUUAGCUGUAAACGAUGAGCACUUGUUUGAAGGGUCCUCCAUAGCCUUUCAGACGUAGCGAAAGUGUUAAGUGCUCCGCCUGGGGAGUAUGGUCGCAAGGCUGAAACUCAAAGAAAUUGACGG